UACAGGGGGGGCAAGCGUUAUUCGGAAUUAUUGGGCGUAAAGGGCGCGUAGGCGGCGAUUCAAGUGACGGGUGAAAUCCCUCGGCUUAACCGAGGAACUGCCUGUCAGACUGGGUUGCUUGAGUCCGGGAGAGGCGAGUGGAAUUCCCAGUGUAGCGGUGAAAUGCGUAGAUAUUGGGAGGAACACCAGUGGCGAAGGCGGCUCGCUGGACCGAAACUGACGCUGAGGCGCGAAAGCGUGGGGAGCAAACAGG
rnacentral:rRNA from 1 species